UUUAUAUUGACGACGUUAUUGUCCGGUUGAAAUAUUAUAGAUCAUUUAAGCUAAAAAACAACCUGAGUAUUGAAUAUAAACAUCGUUGACAUGUUUCUAUGAACUUUACAGAUACAAUUUGGAUUUGACUGAUUGUUUUGACUGAGUUUGAGCCUGUGGAUUACUGAAGAAAACACGCUAACAAAACUGAGGUUUUUGGAUAUAAAGAGACUUCAUCGAACAAAAGGAACAUUUAUUGAGUAAAUGAAUGUCUUCUGAUUGCCACCAUAUGAAGAUCAUCAAAGGGCUAUCUUCUGUAUACCGUUGGGCCAGGAACUGAAAGGUAGAUCGAAUCCCCGAGCUGACAAGUGACACUGACUCUGAAUGGGAGCCCCCAGUGCCAAGGUGUCCAUCCCCCACUGAAGCUGGUUCAUCCAGCUCCUGCCACAAGUGGUGUUCAUCUGACCAAAUGUAUUUCUGCAGGCAUGGAUGUGCUAUGGCACCUGGCAUCAGCAGCAUAAUAUUGUGUAGAGGACUGAGGGUCUUCCAAAUAUUGAAAAUGUUAUUUUGUAAAUGUGUAUAUAUUUUUUUCAUGUUUUUUCUCCAUUUUGUUGGGGGGGUGUUAGAAUACCAUUUUGGUAUUUUGUAUAUAGUUAUUCCAUUCAAAAUGUAUAACUUCACCAAUUUGGCCACUUGGGUACAUUUGGGCUACUUGUGUGGGACACCUGGGUGACUUCAUGAUAAAUGUCAUGUAACACACUCAUUUUGAAAGUUAUCAUUCUGAAACUUUGCACACGUACUGUUGCCCUCAUGUUUUUCACAGAAAUUUUCCCCAUCAUCCUAUCUGAAUGUUUGUUUUAUCUUGUUCAUUUUAAAGAUGAUACAACAAUAC
ensembl:lncRNA